CUUUAGGAUAAGACGUGGUCAUGGGCAAAUGGCUCAAAAUCGUUCGCCACUGUUCUGUGCUUGUUCGCUUCCCGAAGCUUCGCCCCUCUCUGUCUCGAUCGCCAUAUCAGGUCUCUCUCUUUAGCUUCGCUGUUGGUUUCGAUCAAACCACCCAUUCUUCGUUGGAAUGGUUGAGAUCUGGAAGUUUAUUGGCUUCCGAUCCAGUAAGUGUUUUGUUCUGUCAACUCGUUUGCUUGAUCUCACCGUGUGUAGGAGUAGAUCUUUGGGGAAUUAGGAUGUGGAUCGAACACUCGUCUGUCGUUCUUAGUCUUUGAUCUCAGAUUUUUUCACCUCCUCUUCCUGUUUGGUUCUUCUGCUUUGGUUUUUGGUAGAAUUGGUUCUUUAUACGAAUCUACCUGGUUGGAGGAGCUGAUGGAUCUCGGAGAAGUCUAUGUCAUCAAACCGCGGUUUGCAUGGGAUUGCUUGUUGGCGCUUUUGCAUGAGCGCGACUGGUUGACAACGAGAGAGAGCACGCCGGUCCGCGGCCCAUGCCGGCUUCCAUGGUCCUGUACUAGCGUGCUCCUUCUUGUUGUCAACCUGGUUCGCAUCAGCAGGCAUCCUUCUCUUUUUCUUUGUCAGAUGAAGUGUUGCAUCUGAUUGGGUACGUUUUGCUUGCCUCACGCUUCAUUCGUUAAUUCAGUUGUUCGCUUCAAUCCAUGAUGUUUCUCCAUUAAUUUACUCAUGUUAGAGUCUAAAGCUAAGGUAUGCCUAAGCUAGCUAAAUACUGCAAACUAUUUGUGGUGAUAUCUCCUUGCUGAUGUCUGAUGAAUCUUAUGUUACUUUACAUGCUGGUAAUUUAGUGCUUAUUUUUGUUUACCUCCUUCGACCUCAGUCAUGUUAGUGAUAGUACAGAUAUACAAGAUCGUUGGAACUGAGAAAUGAUAUCUUGUAUUAUAUGUUGUGAAGGACACUCCUGUUCCAUCUGAAGGAUUUCUUGAAGAAAGAAUUAACACUGUGUGUGCAUAAAUAUACCUUUGUGAACUGGUGCCUGAAUCUUUUCAGAAAUUGGAGGGCCAUGAUGGGAAUGUCCAUUCUUCUCCAGAGUAUAGGAACAGAUCUUUUUUUCAAUUACCUAUGUUGAUGCUAAUUGUCGUAGGGACAUAUGAUCCAGUUUCAAACUGUUCAAAUCACAAGAUUCCAGUCUUAUCUUGAGUUAUUUCAUGAGGAAAACAAGAUCCAUCCAUGUUUUUGUUCGCUUGUACGUAUUCUCUUAUAGGUCUGAAGAUAAGUAUCACAACAUCUUUGUUGAACUUGAAGGGAAGCUGUUGAAGAACCAAUCUUUCCAACCAGUGCAAAAGAUCUACCUAGCAUUGGUGUAGAUAUAAAUCAUGGAUGUUCAAGGAGCAUAUUUAACUUGUAGCGUAUGAUUUCGGAGACAAGGUCCAAAAGGUCAAGGAAUUCUUUGUAAUGUUUUGUGGAAUGUGAUAUUCGAAUGUAGAAGCGGAGAAGGCAUUAGAAUUCCACGUCGGUUCCAGAAACUUCCUCAGAGUAAAAAAAAAAAAAAGUGCAUUUGGUAUUUAGCAGUUCGUUAAACUUCCGCUGACUGCAAUCUUUGCAGGUUUCUUAGCAGUUAGCAUUUGAAUAGUAGGUGCUUCCUCUGAUUGACCUACGCGGAGGAAUAUUUCAGUUCUCACCAUUGCAACUCGUUCUUCUUAUGGUAACAAUUAUUUCUCCUACCUUUUUGACUUCCAAAUAUCUCUUUUUAUCAAUUUCUCGUACUUUUCGUUCCAGAUUUCUUUCCCCCCUAAGUAUAUUGAUGUGUGAUACUUGUCCUAAAAGUACAUGGUUUGAACACCAGCUUGACUGAAAAAUGGCAAUGGAGCAAGGCAAGUACGCGAAUUGGGGUACUAUUUUCUGUUUCAUGAGCAUAUUGGGUGCGCCAAUAUUUCUUGUGAUAUCACGUUCAAGCAUCAACCAUGUGUUGCUUGUGGAAACCCCUCUUUGGUUGCAGGAAUCUGGUAAUGAUUCAAGCAAUGUCAUUACCUGAUGGUCCUAUGCAACCGCCAAUAUUUCUUUUGUGGUAAAUAGCGGCUGCCUCAAGGAAUGAGACUUAUCACAUGCCCUUGAGCGUAUCUAAUGACUGAAAAUAUAAAGGUAUUAGUCAGUUUAGUUGACAAUAGAUUUUAUUUGA